rnacentral:rRNA from 1 species
UGGGCAACCUGCCCCUCUCUCUGGGAUAACCCCCGGGGAAACCGGAGCUAAUACCGGAUACUCCGGCUGGAUCGCAUGGUCCGGCCGGGAAAGGUCCGCCGGAGAGGGAUGGGCCCGCGGCCUAUCAGCUAGUUGGUGGGGUAACGGCCCACCAAGGCGACGACGGGUAGCUGGUCUGAGAGGAUGGCCAGCCACAUUGGGACUGAGACACGGCCCAGACUCCUACGGGAGCA